GACGAACGCUGGCGGCGUGCCUAACACAUGCAAGUCGAGCGGGGACUUGGGAGCUUGCUUCCAAGUCCUAGCGGCGGACGGGUGAGUAACGCGUGAGCAACCUGCCUCAAACAGGGGGAUAACGCAUCGAAAGAUGUGCUAAUACCGCGUAAGACCACAGUACCACAUGGUACAGGGGUCAAAGGAGCAAUCCGGUUUGAGAUGGGCUCGCGUCCGAUUAGCUAGUUGGCAGGGUGAUAGCCUACCAAGGCGACGAUCGGUAGCCGACCUGAGAGGGUGAUCGGCCACAUUGGAACUGAGAUACGGUCCAA
rnacentral:rRNA from 1 species